rnacentral:misc_RNA from 1 species
GAAACAAAAAAUAAUAAAAAUUAUUUUGCAUAAAAAUAAUUCCGUUUAUUUUUGGAGAAAUAUACUGAGAUAUUCGGUCAAGCGGUCAGCUUAUUCACGCACGGCUGGUCGCAAAAUUUAGAUUUGUUUCCCGGUUUAUUCAAUGUUACUUUAUACAAACAUGAAAAGGAACCAGGCGGGCAAUCAAGUAAAUCCGAUUCACGUGCAACCUUUUCAGUUGAAAAACUACAUUCGACGAGUACGCUAGCUAGAAUCUACUAGAAAUUACACGUUGACAAUUAUUUUUGUUAAUUCCAACGUUAACGAAUUAUGCCACGUGGUGUAAGAGGGAGACUUCGCGGUCGUAUCCCAAACAGACAGGUAAGAGCUCAUCCACAACCUGCUAACAACAGAGGAAACAGAGCUCGCUCACCGGACAGGGCGCCGGUUCAGGCCCCGGCACGUGCCGACGACAGACAGGAACCAGAUAGAGUUUUGAGAGGCAACAGGGCACGCCUUCAUGUUCCGCCACCGGUACAACCACAAGCGAAUGUUGCUCAAGGAUUCGAACCGGAAAAUCCGCGAGCAGAUGGGGCCGACGAACAGGGAGAUUAUCCACGAAGGAAUGAGGCCGAUGAACAGAGGGGCAACAGGCGGGGCACCCCGCCUGCUGCGAACGCCGAACGACCCAGACAUAGCCGGAAACGAGGGCGAGAUGAGCUGGAGCUGGACGAAGUCACAGAACAUCCACUGCUGCAGAACGAUGCGGGUAGGUACCAAUUUAUUGAUUUUGAACAGUUAAUGCAGGAGUCCCGAAUUAUAGAUAGGCCUACAGUUGGUCCUACCAGUAGCAAUAGUAAUGUUACAGGUAAUACUAACCCUCCAAGAUGUGACAUUACGCACGGGGAAAAUGCAAAUAUUUUAAACCUUCCAGCUGGUUCUACCAAUGAGACCGGUAUAAAUAUAAAUUUUCCGUCGGUCCGCCUCGCAGACGACGACAUAGCAGCCCACGUGCCAGCGUCCUUGAAGCAAAAAAUUUGUAAAGGGGAGUACGUUAAUCUUUCUUUAUUAUUAAAAGGGGCAGUUGAACUCGCAGAGUACUGUAAUGGCACUGUAUUUAAACUGAACGCGGAUGGGUGUAUAGAAACGUCACAGCGUGAAUGUAAAGAAAAGAUUGACGACAUUGAAAAAUGGACCAAUGCUUUUAUCAUUUACACGUCCAUAUAUUUAUCAAAUCACGCCGAUAAAGUGUAUGAAAUGCUUCAUUACAUGUUCAACAUUAGGGAAUGCGCAAUUAGGAACAAUGGGCUUAGCUGGCGAGAAUACGACCAACAAUUCCGCUUACGCCAAGCUAUCUCCCCCUCGCCGUGGUCGAAAAUAAAUAAUGAGCUCUGGUGGCGUUGUAUGCAACUCCGUCCUACACUGAGAAAUGCAGUGAACCCAUUCAGGUUUACUUGUAAUGACUUUAACAGUGGAAAUUGCACCUGGCCUAACUGUAGGUUCUCGCAUAUAUGCACUAGGUGUUCGGGACCGCACCCGGAAGUAAGAUGUGUAAGAUCAGGGGCGGCAACUCCGGUCCGAAUGCAAUUUCCACAGACUCAAAAUACAUUUCGCGGGAGACCCUUUAAUAGACGCGGCUCGUUUAGAGGCCCAAGAAAACAUUAGUACCAAUGCCACAAAAAUAAGCGAUACAUUGCGGGGCACCCCGUCAGUACCGCUUAUCACUUCAAACAUCUAUAGUUUAGCUAAAACCCCAAUAAAAAUUUCAGUUUUAAAACAAUACUUACGGUUAUAUGACAAAAAAGAGGCCGAAUUUCUGCUAAAUGGUUUUACAAAUGGCUUUCCUAUUCAAUAUACAGGCCCAAGAUUACCAAGAAAUGCAAACAAUUUACGUUCAACUGCACUGAACCCUGAAUUGAUAAAAUCUAAAAUAAAGAAGGAAAUUGAAGCAGGUAGAGUAGGUGGCCCAUUUUCUGAACGGCCAUUUCCAAAUUUAAUUGUUUCGCCCAUUGGCCUUGUGCCCAAGAAAACUCCUGGGGAAUACAGGAUGAUUCACCACCUGUCGUAUCCCCAAGGUCAAUCUGUGAAUGAUUUUAUCGAUCCGGAAGUAUGUACAGUGCAUUACACUAGCUUUGAUGAAGCGGUCAAAAUGGUCCAAGAACUAGGUCAAAACUGUAAGCUGUUCAAAACGGAUAUUCGAAAUGCAUACAGGCUUAUACCUAUCCAACCUUCAGAUUUUGAAUUACUUGGUUUCUGUUUUGAUGAAAACUACUAUUUUGAUAAAGCUUUACCUUUCGGCGCAUCCAUUAGUUGUAUAACCUUUGAAAGAUUCGCAAGGUUUUUGGAAUUUUGCGUAAAACAAAAGCUCAAAACCGGGGGCCUAAUUCAUUAUUUAGACGAUUUUUUGGGGGGUGAAAAAACGUUAGACAGGUGUACCCAGGCAUUAAACAUUUUUGAGAACAUUAUGUCAGAUUUAGGCGUCCCAUUGGCGGAGGAAAAGACCGAAGGACCCACAGAGGUACUAGUUUUUCUUGGCUUGGAGUUGGACUCAAUUAACAUGCGUGUAAGGAUACCUUUAACAAAAAUUCAAGAGGUUAUACAAAAAAUAAAAGAAAUGCUUCCCCACAAUAAGACAACUCUUAAACGGAUGCAGUCCCUCAUAGGGUCACUGAACUUUUGCUGCCGCGCAAUUCCUAUGGCUAGGCCAUUCUCACGCCGUUUAAUUGAUUCUGUAUGCGGUUUAACUAAACCCUAUCAACAUUUAAGACUCAAAAACAUGAUUAAGUUAGAUUUGAACAUGUGGCUUACCUUCUUGGGCGAUUUCAACGGGAUUUCAGUAUUUCAUGAUAAGUUCUGGGUCUCAAACACUGAUAUACAGCUAUAUUCAGACAGUGCAGGUGGUGAGGGUCUCGGAUUCGGCAUUUACUUUCAGGGUCAUUGGUGCCUAGCAAAAUGGCCUCUCAACUGGCAUAAAAUGGGUAUUACUGCAGACAUUACAACGUUAGAACUCUUUCCAAUAUUAGUAGCGUUGUUUACAUGGGGCUCGGAUUUGAAGAAUAAAAAACUGAAAUUCAAAUGCGAUAACAUGGCAGUUGUACAUAUCCUCAAUAAAUUAUCAUCGAAAUCAGAAAGGGUUAUGUGCUUGGUCAGGUUAAUAACUCUGCAAUGCUUAAAAAUGAACAUUUGGUUAAAAGCGGAACAUGUUCAAGGUUGUCAUAACGACAUAUGCGACUCCUUGUCCCGUUUUAACUUACAGAGAUUCAGAGAGUUGGCGCCAGAGGCGGACCCCGAACCUUGUCAGGUACCCGAUUUCCUGUGGCACGUCUUCAAUACAGAGCUAGACAACUCCUUAAUACAGCGGUCGCACCAAAUACUUUAACAACAUAUCAUACGGCAUUAAACAUGUUCGAAACAUUUAGGUCUGAUUAUAACCUACCUAAAUCCUGGCCAAUACCUAUAUCGCAGAUUGUGCUAUUUUUGACAAAUUGUUUCGAGAAAGGUCUCUCACCAAGAUCUGUCACAACAUAUUUGGCGGGCAUUAACUAUUUUCACAAGUUACAAGGAUACUCAGAUCUUGCUCAAGUAUUUAUAAUAAAAAAACUUAUUGAAGGUUGCCACAGAAAUAGAAAAACCCGUGACAAACGCGCUCCGUUAAGAAAACACGUACUUGAAGCAGUUUGUAACGCAUUGCCCUCCGUUUGUUAUGAUAUCUAUGAAACUAAGCUGUUUACAUCAUUAUUCACUCUAGCAUACUUUGGUCUAUUUCGGGUCAGCGAAUUAGUCGCAAAUCGCGCUUAUCAGCGGAGUAAUACACUGUUACGAGAGGAUGUUUGCCUAACUCAAAACGAUAGCUAUAUCCUCAUCAAACUUAGGCGCUAUAAAACAAACCAACGAGGAAACCCCGUUCUAUUCAAAAUACCAAAGCAAAAGGAAGCGAUAGAUAUAUGCCCAGUUCGUAAACUUCUUGAGUUUUUACAAGUGCGGUCGGAAAGCCAAUAUGCUUUGUUCUGUCACCAGAAUGGAGCGGCAGUCACGAGAUCGCAAUUUACGCAUGUCUUGACAAAAGCUAUUUACAUGGCAGGCUAUAGUACACUAAAUCUGAGGUCACACAGUUUUAGGAUUGGCAGAGCGACUGAUCUCGCAAUCUUAGGUCUCCCGUCCGAGGUUAUUAUGAAAAUGGGCAGAUGGUCGUCGGAUUGUUACAAAUUAUACAUACGCAAUAUUCCAGUGUAGAUUUUACUUGGUUUAAUGAUCUGCCCGCGCUCUCUUUGUUUAAUUGGUCACAAUAAGUUACUUAUAGUCAUAUAAUAUCACCUCUAUUCAAGUUAAAAUACAUUGAAAUCUUACAUUUUAGACGUAUGGGUUUUAGGGGAUUCUAUUCCCUACUGGGCCGGUGUCCGUGCUGAGAAAACCGGAAAACCUAACCUGAGACUUCAGGAUAUACAGAUAGGCUGGUGGGGUGUGCGAGGACUGGGUUGGCAAGGAUUCAGACAUCAGGUGGAAGCUCAAGUUCUCCUGUGCCUGCCACCAAAAAUGAUAAUAGUAAGCCUAGGUGGGAACGAUUUAACUAACAUUAAAACCCCUGGAAUUAGAGAAAUUAUCCAAAGGGAAGUUUCCUACCUAAGGGAUGCUCUCCCAAAUACAGUGAUUGUUUGGAUGGAUAUCCUUCAACGGCGUGUAUGGAAGGGUGCAAGGGAUGGGCAUAAAACUUUAGAACAAAAAAGAAAGCGUUUAAAUCGUUUGGGCCGUAGAAUUGUACUGGAGUCCGGAAAUGGUGAUGUCAUAAUGCCUGACAUCGACAGUAGCACCAACUUCUACCGCAGUGACGGUGUACAUUUAAAUGAUGUUGGAUUGGAGUUCUACCUUGAUUACAUUAAAGAUGUCAUUUCUAAACACUGUUCAACUUAAAUAAAAUAGAAGUAACAUCUAAAUAACGUUUAUCGUUUUGUGUUUUCUUCUGAUACAUGUAUACUAACCAAUCAGUUAGGUCCUCUAUUAUAUAAUUAUCAAAGGCUUACCAGAAUUUUGGGGGAUAAAUUGAAAUGCAAUUUAUUGUGGCCGAAAAUUCUGUCGACUCGGGAGGUGAUCGGACGUACUUUAUAAGACGUAAAUUUCUUAAUGGUAAAUAUUUACAUACACUUUCAAUAUUUUAUUAAUUAAAAACUCGAAGUCCGGUUUCGGUAAAAGUUCGGGCACCCGAGCAGAACGGAAACUGGAAUUCGGGCAAUAGAAAUUGUUCGGGUCAGUGGCAAGUGUCGUCUGUUGCGGUUUACGGAGUGUCUGUAUAUAGAUUCCAACUUUCAAAUAAGUCGGGUGUAAUUGCAUAGGUAUUGUCCUAGUACUGAGGUAAUACCUACAUAGCCUUGCUUGUGUCUAUCUUGCCUUGCGUCCGUCGUAGCCUCGCUUUGAUAACUUUCCCGACUGGUAUCUAAAGGUUAUUGAACAGUCUCCUUGCAUGGAUUUGCUUAGCGUAAACCAAUGUAAAUUUUGCCUUGCGUCCGUUGUAGCCUUUACAUAGACGGCGGUGUGUGCUAUAUCUUGCCUCGAUAAAUUUUGCUUAUACGGGUAUUUCAUAUUAGGCAGGUGCGUCCGGUCUCCUUCCGGUCGACUGAAAAACUUACCUUUUCUGAGUGGCCACAACAUGCCAUUUCUUUAGUGAUAAUAAGUCAGAAUAUACUUAAACUUUACUUAAAAUUCUGAUAUGAUCUCGUGUAUUAUCGCAAACUUAUUAUUGUUACGUCUUAAAUGAGAUAGUUGAUCAAUGUUCUGUAACUUUCUUUGCAGGGCACCCUGCAAUUUUAGUAAAUAAAUGGUUAUUUCUAAUUUUAACGUUUGUUUAGUUCUAUAUUUCGAAUGAUAAAAUAAUAAAAAUUAUUUUGCAUAAAAAUAAUUCCGUUUAUUUUUGGAGAAAUAUACUGAGAUAUUCGGUCAAGCGGUCAGCUUAUUCACGCACGGCUGGUCGCAAAAUUUAGAUUUGUUUCCCGGUUUAUUCAAUGUUACUUUAUACAAACAUGAAAAGGAACCAGGCGGGCAAUCAAGUAAAUCCGAUUCACGUGCAACCUUUUCAGUUGAAAAACUACAUUCGACGAGUACGCUAGCUAGAAUCUACUAGAAAUUACACGUUGACAAUUAUUUUUGUUAAUUCCAACGUUAACGAAUUAUGCCACGUGGUGUAAGAGGGAGACUUCGCGGUCGUAUCCCAAACAGACAGGUAAGAGCUCAUCCACAACCUGCUAACAACAGAGGAAACAGAGCUCGCUCACCGGACAGGGCGCCGGUUCAGGCCCCGGCACGUGCCGACGACAGACAGGAACCAGAUAGAGUUUUGAGAGGCAACAGGGCACGCCUUCAUGUUCCGCCACCGGUACAACCACAAGCGAAUGUUGCUCAAGGAUUCGAACCGGAAAAUCCGCGAGCAGAUGGGGCCGACGAACAGGGAGAUUAUCCACGAAGGAAUGAGGCCGAUGAACAGAGGGGCAACAGGCGGGGCACCCCGCCUGCUGCGAACGCCGAACGACCCAGACAUAGCCGGAAACGAGGGCGAGAUGAGCUGGAGCUGGACGAAGUCACAGAACAUCCACUGCUGCAGAACGAUGCGGACGUAUGGGUUUUAGGGGAUUCUAUUCCCUACUGGGCCGGUGUCCGUGCUGAGAAAACCGGAAAACCUAACCUGAGACUUCAGGAUAUACAGAUAGGCUGGUGGGGUGUGCGAGGACUGGGUUGGCAAGGAUUCAGACAUCAGGUGGAAGCUCAAGUUCUCCUGUGCCUGCCACCAAAAAUGAUAAUAGUAAGCCUAGGUGGGAACGAUUUAACUAACAUUAAAACCCCUGGAAUUAGAGAAAUUAUCCAAAGGGAAGUUUCCUACCUAAGGGAUGCUCUCCCAAAUACAGUGAUUGUUUGGAUGGAUAUCCUUCAACGGCGUGUAUGGAAGGGUGCAAGGGAUGGGCAUAAAACUUUAGAACAAAAAAGAAAGCGUUUAAAUCGUUUGGGCCGUAGAAUUGUACUGGAGUCCGGAAAUGGUGAUGUCAUAAUGCCUGACAUCGACAGUAGCACCAACUUCUACCGCAGUGACGGUGUACAUUUAAAUGAUGUUGGAUUGGAGUUCUACCUUGAUUACAUUAAAGAUGUCAUUUCUAAACACUGUUCAACUUAAAUAAAAUAGAAGUAACAUCUAAAUAACGUUUAUCGUUUUGUGUUUUCUUCUGAUACAUGUAUACUAACCAAUCAGUUAGGUCCUCUAUUAUAUAAUUAUCAAAGGCUUACCAGAAUUUUGGGGGAUAAAUUGAAAUGCAAUUUAUUGUGGCCGAAAAUUCUGUCGACUCGGGAGGUGAUCGGACGUACUUUAUAAGACGUAAAUUUCUUAAUGGUAAAUAUUUACAUACACUUUCAAUAUUUUAUUAAUUAAAAACUCGAAGUCCGGUUUCGGUAAAAGUUCGGGCACCCGAGCAGAACGGAAACUGGAAUUCGGGCAAUAGAAAUUGUUCGGGUCAGUGGCAAGUGUCGUCUGUUGCGGUUUACGGAGUGUCUGUAUAUAGAUUCCAACUUUCAAAUAAGUCGGGUGUAAUUGCAUAGGUAUUGUCCUAGUACUGAGGUAAUACCUACAUAGCCUUGCUUGUGUCUAUCUUGCCUUGCGUCCGUCGUAGCCUCGCUUUGAUAACUUUCCCGACUGGUAUCUAAAGGUUAUUGAACAGUCUCCUUGCAUGGAUUUGCUUAGCGUAAACCAAUGUAAAUUUUGCCUUGCGUCCGUUGUAGCCUUUACAUAGACGGCGGUGUGUGCUAUAUCUUGCCUCGAUAAAUUUUGCUUAUACGGGUAUUUCAUAUUAGGCAGGUGCGUCCGGUCUCCUUCCGGUCGACUGAAAAACUUACCUUUUCUGAGUGGCCACAACAUGCCAUUUCUUUAGUGAUAAUAAGUCAGAAUAUACUUAAACUUUACUUAAAAUUCUGAUAUGAUCUCGUGUAUUAUCGCAAACUUAUUAUUGUUACGUCUUAAAUGAGAUAGUUGAUCAAUGUUCUGUAACUUUCUUUGCAGGGCACCCUGCAAUUUUAGUAAAUAAAUGGUUAUUUCUAAUUUUAACGUUUGUUUAGUUCUAUAUUUCGAAUGAUAAAAUAAUAAAAAUUAUUUUGCAUAAAAAUAAUUCCGUUUAUUUUUGGAGAAAUAUACUGAGAUAUUCGGUCAAGCGGUCAGCUUAUUCACGCACGGCUGGUCGCAAAAUUUAGAUUUGUUUCCCGGUUUAUUCAAUGUUACUUUAUACAAACAUGAAAAGGAACCAGGCGGGCAAUCAAGUAAAUCCGAUUCACGUGCAACCUUUUCAGUUGAAAAACUACAUUCGACGAGUACGCUAGCUAGAAUCUACUAGAAAUUACACGUUGACAAUUAUUUUUGUUCCCACCCGCCACUCCCAAACUUAACUGUAGUGCAUUUAACGAAACGAAAACCUAAAUUCAUUAAUUUCUGUUUAAGGUACAUGUUAUUUUUCUUCUUUUUGAACAAAAUAAUGUUUUGGCUUAGCUUUAUAUUUCAGGGACAGCCUUUCCAUAACUGAGUUCACAUUCCAAGUUACGCAACCUUACAAUCCCAGCAACAACUGGAUCACUGCAAUUGGCAUCAAUAUAUGGCGUCGCCAAGACUGUGUUUAUGUGUAUGGGACAUUUCGUGCUGCAUAACGAUUAUUCGGGAGAACUGAAGCAUUGUAGUGACUUUAUAAUUUUUCAAGGGUUUUAUGUAUAUUUAAAGGAGGAUUUUGUUAUUCUUGGAAUGGACAGCGUUGAUGUUAUAUAUACAGGGACGUCAAGGAUUAUUACUUUGUUAAACGUGUAUCAUACUUGUUACUAUUUACUUUGUGUCAUACUUUUUCUUUGUGUCUAAACUGAUUUUGGUAUAGCUGAUUCUAUUCGAAACAAAAAAAAAAAAAAAAAAAAAAAAAGAAAGUCACUCACUUUAUUACUAGGGCCGAAAAUUCUGUCGACUCGGGAGGUGAUCGGACGUACUUUAUAAGACGUAAAUUUCUUAAUGGUAAAUAUUUACAUACACUUUCAAGAUUUUAUUAAUUAAAAACUCGAAGUCCGGUUUCGGUAAAAGUUCGGGCACCCGAGCAGAACGGAAACUGGAAUUCGGGCAAUAGAAAUUGUUCGGGUCAGUGGCAAGUGUCGUCUGUUGCGGUUUACGGAGUGUCUGUAUAUAGAUUCCAACUUUCAAAUAAGUCGGGUGUAAUUGCAUAGGUAUUGUCCUAGUACUGAGGUAAUACCUACAUAGCCUUGCUUGUGUCUAUCUUGCCUUGCGUCCGUCGUAGCCUCGCUUUGAUAACUUUCCCGACUGGUAUCUAAAGGUUAUUGAACAGUCUCCUUGCAUGGAUUUGCUUAGCGUAAACCAAUGUAAAUUUUGCCUUGCGUCCGUUGUAGCCUUUACAUAGACGGCGGUGUGUGCUAUAUCUUGCCUCGAUAAAUUUUGCUUAUACGGGUAUUUCAUAUUAGGCAGGUGCGUCCGGUCUCCUUCCGGUCGACUGAAAAACUUACCUUUUCUGAGUGGCCACAACAUGCCAUUUCUUUAGUGAUAAUAAGUCAGAAUAUACUUAAACUUUACUUAAAAUUCUGAUAUGAUCUCGUGUAUUAUCGCAAACUUAUUAUUGUUACGUCUUAAAUGAGAUAGUUGAUCAAUGUUCUGUAACUUUCUUUGCAGGGCACCCUGCAAUUUUAGUAAAUAAAUGGUUAUUUCUAAUUUUAACGUUUGUUUAGUUCUAUAUUUCGAAUGAUAAAA